GGGCCAUAGCUCAGUGGAAGAACAUCUGCCUUGCAUGCAGAAGGUCCCAAGUUCAAUCCCUGGCAUCUCCA
rnacentral:tRNA from 1 species